GUUGCCUACUCCCUGACUGCACACGUGGUGACGAAGAAAAGCAAAGAAAACGGAAGAUGGCGCCUCCAUGUUGAACAUGCCUGGCUCCCAGGUAGCCUAUUCCUGUCGGCACAGCCGCCAGCAUUUAUCUAUGCAAGCUUCCAGGUUGCUUAUCUAUGUUUGCAGCUUAAUAUUUCAGGCUGCUCUUUGUUAGAAAAGAAAUGAUUUGGGGGCUGCUUUUUAUUAAAAGGGAAGCCUUGCCCAGGACUCCUUUACCCUCACUGUCUGCCUAAAUAAUUUCUUCUUAGCUCCUGUAUCACUAACUUUGGUGUUAAAGUGUCAACUCUGGGAAUCUUUUCUUCUCUUUUAAUUCAAAUUUCAAAGUUCAUUUUCUGAGCAGAAUUUGUGUUUGAAAGGGAGAUCUGACUUUAAGUUUUACUUUACAAACUUCAAGUUUUUUAUUAAUAUAUUAGCAUUAUCUGAAAGUUCUUUCCAUAUUUAAAAGGUUAUCAUUGUGAUUAGUUAUUAAAACAGACUUUUUCUAGUAAUUCUGCCGGUUUUACUUGAAAGCAACUUUUUCUCCCCCAUUUUUAUUAGCAAAAGAAAGUUGAGCCAAAGCCUUGAAUCUUACUUAGGAUAUAAUAAGCGGUGCUGAUAAUUCCAGUUGCUAAACGUAUUUUUAUUUGGAAUAGGUCUUCCUCUGUAUAAUCCCAAAUCAGUAAAUAAUUGAGAAUUCUUUAAUUCAUUUUGUUUGGGGUUACUUAUUAUGUCAUAAAUACUGGAAAUAGUAUUAGAGUAGCGAAGGUGUAUUUUCUGCAUAUUUUCCACUAUAUAUUAAAUAAUCAAUAAAAUAAUAGAAAGAAGUGCAUGGAAGGAUAGAAGAGUUAAUAUUUAAAUGACUUAGCUAAAAGUGUUAACCAGAGUUGUGGUUUAUGAUACAGAAUGAGUCUUUUUAUAAAGUUAUCAGAAAGAUUUCCAUAUAAGAAGCAUUAGGACCCAAGUCUUUAAACCCAGUUUUAAAUUGUUUAAAGUUCUAGUUCACCACAACAUCUCUUAAAAAGUCAUUAUAGUGAAAGUAAGAGGUGAGAAAAUAUAAUUAGAGAAAUUAAUUUACCUUUGCAGCUAUUUUGCAUAUUCAGAUUGUAGUUCAUGAAAAUAAAAUAGAUAAUUCACUAAUAGCUUUGACGUCUUACAUCUGGCUAUUUUGGCAUCUUGUAAACCCAAUCUAAAUUUACUAUAAAUUAAACAGCAUUUUCAAUCUUAUAUGUAAAGAAUAACAAAUAUUAUAUAAAUCAUUUCUGUCUUACCCAUAUCUUGAAAGAAAUGGUCAAAAUCCUUUAAAAGUAUUAGGUUUUCUAAAGUAGAAAAAAAUACAACAGUACAGGAAUGACAAUAACACAGGUAGCAAUUCUUUGUACAUAAAUUUGCUAUGGAGGCUUCAUUUCCCACAUUCAGAAAAAUGUCAUUUAUAUAAAUUUGCUUUAAGUGGAGGAGUCAACCAAUUGCAUGUACUACCAUGUGCUUUUGACAGAAGAGGGAGGAGAACUGAAACUCCUCUAAUAGCACCCAAGGGUUCCCUUUAGGGCAAGUUAAGAUGUAUUACUGGGCAUUAUAAAUUUGAAUGUGUAUAAGAAGUCUAGGCUGUCCCACAGGGCAUUAUAGACUUUGAAACCAUAAACAUCAAGUCAUUGUAUAUGGGUCUAGUUUAACAAUUGAAACUGAAAUUGCACUUUGUGCCACUAUUUUCUACCAUAGAUGACACUUCCCACAUGUUUAUGUAAACCUCGGAUUAUAUAUAAUAUUCCUUUCCCUGUGGUCUUUGAUUAGGCAGUCUUGUCUGAGUUAAUCAAAUCAUGAUUUUAAUAAGGCUGAAAGUCUAGAUUACCCUCAGGAGCCAACUCCAAAUGAAAGUGUCCUCAUGAAAACUGCAAAUUAAAUUCCAGACAUAUCACUAGUUCCCAACUUUGAGUUGAAAUCUGAUGAAAAAUCUUAUUAGCAAAGAUCAAAGAGAAAGAGAAAACAAAGACCACAGUGGGAGGUGGCCUAGGUCUCUGUUCCCCAAAUUUCAAUGUCCGUACAUAUUUUGGAGAUCUUGUUAAAAUGCAUAUUUGGUUUCAGUAGUUCUGGCGUGGGGCUCAGAAUCUUCUUGUCUAACAAAGUGAUGCCUGCUAUCCACAGGGCCUUCAUCAUUGAGGACUUAGAUUACCAGAGAGGCUAGAUCAUUGAGAAACAAAAAAUUAUAAAUGUGGCUGACAAUCAGAGAGAGAAGCAGGGAGGAGCCAGAUGAGGCCAGGGAGGUGGUAUGAAUGGGCCUGCAUAGCUCUUGGGAGCUAGGUCAGGGACUUUGUUCUUUACACGAAGAAAGGAAAACUAUGGGGAAAUUGUAAGUGUAGUGGUAACAUGUUUAGAUUUGCAUUUUUAUCUUUAACAAAGUAUUCAGCAAACAUUCACUUAGAAAAAUAAAACAGUUCACUCAUUUGUGACAUUUAGACUUUAUAAAUGAAUAAUGAUAUGUAACUAUCUCUACAAUAAAAAAUGUUCAAUCUAAACUUGGGUUAUGGCUGGCAAGACACUGGGAGAAAGCAUAGGGCAUGUUUUAUGGUAGACUCAUUAAUCAAUUAUCCUCCUUUCUUAAGAUUUUGCUAGUAAAAGACAAAGAAGCAGAAGAAAAUAAUAAAGAGGAGUCAGUGUGAAACCUCUGCGGAAGUGUGGAGUAAGCAGCGUGAUGUGCAGAAGUAGCUUUUAACAUGACCAAAACUUGACUUAAAUGUAUUGCCCUCUUAAAUUUUGUAUGAUUACCUCCUAACUCAUUUUGUUGCCUAUCUGUGAGUACAAAAGCACUAUAGUUCUGCACUGACAAUAGGUAGUCUUUUCAAUUUUGGUCUUUCAAAUGAUUGGGUCAUGGCAUCUCAUUGUGGUUUUAAUUUGCAUUUCCCUGGUAACUAAUGAUAGUGAGUAUCGUUUUCUGUCCUUAUUUGACAUCUGUUUGUUUUCAUUGCUGAAGUGUCUGCAUAAUCCUUUUGUUUAUAUUUCAAUUAAAUUAUUUGUUUUAUUAUUUAGUUUUGAGAAUUCUUCAUAUAUUCUGGAUACAAGUCUUUUUACAGAUAUGGAAUGUGUAAAUAUUUCUUCAUGAUUGCCUAUCUUCAACAACAAGGUAUCACACUGAUUCAUUACACUGAUGACAUUAUGCUGAUUGUACCUAAUGAGCAAGAAUAGUGACUACUCUGGACUUAUUGGUUAGACAUUUGUGUAACAAAGGAUGGGAAAUUAAUCUGACAAAAAUCAGGAGACUUCUACCUUGGUAAAAUUUCCAGGGCUCCAGUGGUGUGAAACAUAUGAUGAUAUCCCUUUUCAAGUGAAAUCUGGCUCUUCCUACAAUCAAAUGAGAGAAACAUAUUCUACUGGGCCCUUUUGGAUUCUAGAAUUAACAUAUUGCCCUUUUGGUUGUAUUACUUUAUUCCACUUACCUAGUGACCUGAAAAGCUGUUAGUUUUGAAAACGGUACGAAAAAGGAAAGGCUCUAUAAUAGGUCUGGGCUGCUGUGGGAGAUGCUCUGCCUCUUGAGCCAUAUGAUCCCACAGAUCUAAUGGUACUGGAAGGGUGAGAGGCAUAAAGGGAUGCUGUCUGGAGAUGUUGACAUGCCUCUACUGAUGAAUCACAGCACAAGCCCUUUGAAUUUUGAAGCAAAACCUUGCCAUCCUUCAUAGAUAACUAUUUUUCUUUUGAGAAACAGCUCUUGUUCUGCUACUGGCUGGGCAUUAGUAGAGACUGAACACUUAACUAUGGACCACCAAUUUACUAUGUGACAUGAGCUGCAAAUCAUGAACGGAGUGUUUUCUGACCCAAUAAGCUGUAUGAUUUAGGAUACACAGCAACACUCUAACGUCAAAUAGCAGUGAUAUAUACAUGAUUGAGUCUAAGCAGGUUCUGAGGAUAAAAGUGUAUUAUUACAUAAAAAAUGGCCCAAAUGCACAUGGUCCCCACUUCUGCUACACUGCCUUUUCUCUCUUGGCUUGUACCAAUGGACUCCUGAGUUGUUCUCUGUGAGCAUUUGAAAGAGGAAGAGAAGACUGGAGCCUAGAUACAGACAUUUCUAUAGGAUAUGCAGACUCCCCAGAAAGUGCACAGCUGCAUCACUGGACACCCUUUCUAGGACAUGUCUGAAAGAGAGUGAUGAAGGGAAAUCCUCUCAGUGUGCAGAACUUAGAGUGGUGCACUUGGUCACUUACUUUUCUUGGAAGGAGAAAUAGUAAGACUUGUGAUUAUAUAUUGGCUUGUGGGAUGUGGCCAAUGGUUUGGUUGGAUGCUCAAGAACAUGGGAGAGGAAUAAUUGGAAAUUUGGUAACAAGGAAAUUUGGGAAAGAGGUAUGUGGAUAGACAUCUCUGAAUUGGCAAAAAAUGUAUAAAUAUUUGUAUGCUAUGUGAAUUUCAAUCAAAGGAUGACCCCAACAGAGAAGGACGGUAAUCAUAUGGAUAGAAUGAUGUAUUCUGUGGACAUCAGAAAUCCACUUUCUCCAUCCACCCCCAUUAACACUCAAUUGACUCAUGAACACAGUGGCCAUGGUGGCAGGAAUGGAGGAUAGACAAAGUCUCAGAAACAUGGACUUUCACUCACCAAGUUUGUACUGGACAUAGUCACUGCUGAGUGCCUAAUUUCCUAGCAAUGGAUAGCAACAGAGUCAUCAAUUUGUCACCAUUCACCAGGGUGAUCAGCCAGCUACCUGAUGCCAGGCUGAUUACAUUAGACCACUCCCAAAAAGGAAGAGUCAGUGUUUUGUUGUUACUAAAAAAGCUACUUGUGGCUGGGCAUGGUGGCUCAUGCCUGUAAUCCCAACACUUUGGGAGGCCGAGGGCAGUGGACUACCUGAGGUCGGGAGUUCAAGACCAGCCUGACCAACAUGGAGAAAUCCCGUCUCUACUAAAAAUACAAAAUUAGCCAGGCGUGGUGGCACAUGCCUGUAAUCUCAGUUAUGCAGGAGGCUGAGGCAGGAGAAUCGCUUGAACCCAGUAGGCGGAGGUUGCAGUGAGCCAAGAUCACGCCAUUGCACUCCAGCCUAGGCAACAAGAGUGAAACUCUGUCUCAAAAAAAAAAAAAAAAAAUAGCUACUUGCUUUGGAUACACAUUUGCCUCCCAUACACCAAUGCUUUUGUCAAAACUACUGCCCUUGGACUUACAGAGUACUUACACACCUCAUGGUAUUUCACAUAGCAUUGCUUUUGAUCAAGGAACUCACUUCACAGCAAAAGAGGUGAAACACUGAACCCAUUCUCCUGGAAUACACUAGGCCUGCCAUGUUCUCUACUAUCCCAAAGCCACUAAUUUGAUGAAAAAGUAAAUGGCUUUUUGAAGACCCAGUAACAGCAUGGUAUUGUCACAUCAGAGAUGUGGCAGUACCUGUUAGGGCUGGGACAAAGUUUUCCAAAACACUACAUGCUCUGAAUUAGAAUCCUAUAUAUGGCACUGUUUCUGUCAUAGGAUGCUUGGGCCCAGGAAAGGAACUGGUGAAAAUAAGAGUGGGCCACUCACUAUUAGCCCUAAUGAUCUUGUUAGCAAAAUUUUUGCUUCUGGUCCCCUGACGUUAUUUUUCUCCUGGCCUAGAGGUCUUAGUUCCAGAGGAAGGAAUGUUCCACUAGGAGACAGAACAACGAUUCCACCAAAGUGAAAGUUCAUACCACCACCUGGCCACUUUAGGUUCAUCAUUUCUCUGAAUUCCCUAGCAAAAAAAGAAGUAACUGUGCUGGCUUGGGUGGUUGAGAUUUGGGUCACUAUACCAGGUGAAGAACCAUGUCCAACUGAAGUGCUUACUAAAAGCAAUUAGAAUAAAGUAUGGGCAAUGGAAGAAGGUUAUAUAUACCAGCUUUGACCACAUGAACAGUUACAGAAAUAAAGAAUGUAAUUGGCACGAGUAUUUUCUGUUUGUUUUGAACGCAUUUGUGUUUGCGUGUGUGUAUAGUAAAAGUCCUUGUUUUCUUUCUUCGAUUAUUUCAUCAUGUAACAUAAGAUGUAUUGACUUUAUAUCACAGUUUUUAACUAUUGUUAAUUUUGGAUCAUAAUAUUUUAUUUCCCAGAUAUUAAAGGAAAGAGUAAAUAUUAACAAAGAUCUUUACCUCCAAUCCUGUGGAAGAUGCAUUGACAAGUGGUGGGCAGGGGAUGAUUUUAUGCGUCAGCUUGACAAAGCCAGAGAUGCCCAGAUAUCUGGUUAAACCUUAUUUCUGGGUGUGUCUGUGAGGGUAUUUCUAGCAGAUACUUGCAUUUGAAUUGGUGGACUGAGUAAAGCAGAUGGCUCUCCUCAGUGUGGGAGGGCAUCAGUCAAUUUAUUUAGGGCCUGAGUGGCAUAAAAAGACAGGGGCAGGUCAAAUUUGCUCUCUGGCUGACUGAGCUGGCACAUUGAUUUUCUCCUGCCCUCAGCACUCCUGGUUCUCAGAUCUUCAGACUUGGAGUAUAGCUUAUAACAGAUGUAUAUUUUAACUCUUUCCUAACAUCUCUUGAAAUGACAAAAAUGACAAAAAAUAUUAUAUCUAUAAAGAAAUAAUUUGUGUCGGGAAGACAUAAAAUAGUUGGAAUUAUAUUCAAGGACAAACCAGAGAACAAGUACGUGUAGACUAGACAUAUACAAGAAAAAGGCUUCAGAAGAAGUCUGAGUUUCUGAGAGGAUCUCUUUCAUACUCAUCCAACAUGAAGUAUGACUUAACCUGCUACACACGUUGCCACAUGCUCAAAGCUUGAUGUCCACCUUUUCAUUGAAGAAAAAGGCCAAUCAGGGAAGUAGACCUUUAAAAUGGCAAAAAAAAAAAAAAAAAAAAAAAAAAAAAUGGACAUCAGAUGCUCACAUUACCAAUCCAAUCUUUGGGUUAUAACAAUGAACAAACCACCAAAAAGACAGAUAAUUCACAGGAAACCAUCAGUACAUUGAAAAUAUUACAUAGCAAUAAAAAUUUUUAGAAAAGCUACAGACACAUGUAAUAACAUGGAUUCUCUAAGGGAAGG
rnacentral:lncRNA from 1 species